UAGGGAAUCUUCGGCAAUGGACGGAAGUCUGACCGAGCAACGCCGCGUGAGUGAAGAAGGUUUUCGGAUCGUAAAGCUCUGUUGUAAGAGAAGAACGAGUGUGAGAGUGGAGAGUUCACACUGUGACGGUAUCUUACCAGAAAGGGACGGCUAACUACGUGCCAGCAGCCGCGGUAAUACGUAGGUCCCGAGCGUUGUCCGGAUUUAUUGGGCGUAAAGCGAGCGCAGGCGGUUAGAUAAGUCUGAAGUUAAAGGCUGUGGCUUAACCAUAGUACGCUUUGGAAACUGUUUAACUUGAGUGCAAGAGGGGAGAGUGGAAUUCCAUGUGUAGCGGUGAAAUGCGUAGAUAUAUGGAGGAACACCGGUGGCGAAAGCGGCUCUCUGGCUUGUAACUGACGCUGAGGCUCGAAAGCGUGGGGAGCAAACAGGAUUAGAUACCCUGGUAGUCCACGCCGUAAACGAUGAGUGCUAGGUGUUAGACCCUUUCCGGGGUUUAGUGCCGUAGCUAACGCAUUAAGCACUCCGCCUGGGGAGUACGACCGCAAGGUUG
rnacentral:rRNA from 1 species